rnacentral:rRNA from 1 species
GGACCCGCACAAGCGGUGGAUCAUGUUCUUUAAUUCGAGGCUAAACGAUAAACCUUACCAGGGCUUGACAUCUAGGGGAAGCACCACGAAAGUGGAGUGUGCCUUUUGGAACCCUAAGACAGGUGAUGCAUGGCCGUCGUCAGCUCGUGUCGUGAGAUGUUAGGUUAAGUCCUUCAACGAGCGCAACCCUUGUCAACAGUUGAAUUUUUCUGUUGAAACUGCCCCGGUAACGGGGAGGAAGGAGGGGAUGAUGUCAGGUCAGUAUUUCCCUUACGUCCUGGGCUAGAAACGUGAUACAAUGGCAUGUACAAUGCGAAGCGAAGCCGCGAGGUGAAGCAAAUCGCACCAAAGCAUGUCCCAGUUCGGAUUGGAGGCUGAAACUCGCCUCCAUGAAGUCGGAAUCGCUAGUAAUCGCAGAUCAGCAUGUUG